GGUUAAGCGACUAAGCGUACACGGUGGAUGCCUAGGCAAUCAGAGGCGAUGAAGGACGUGCUAAUCUGCGAUAAGCGUCGGUAAGGUGAUAUGAACCGUGAUAACCGACGAUUUCCGAAUGGGGAAACCCAGUGCAAUUCGUUGCACUAUCGUUUGAUGAAUACAUAGUCAAACGAAGCGAACCGGGGGAACUGAAACAUCUCAGUACCCCGAGGAAAAGAAAUCAACCGAGAUUCCCCUAGUAGCGGCGAGCGAACGGGGAGCAGCCCAGAGUCUUAAUCAGCAUUAGCAUCAGGAGAACGGUCUGGAAAGGCCGGCAGUAAAGGGUGAUAGCCCCGUAUCCGAAGGUGUUAGUGUUGUGAACUCGACGAGUAGGGCGGGACACGUGUUAUCCUGUCUGAAUAUGGGGGGACCAUCCUCCAAGGCUAAAUACUCCUGAUUGACCGAUAGUGAACCAGUACCGUGAGGGAAAGGCGAAAAGAACCCCGGCGAGGGGAGUGAAAUAGAACCUGAAACCGUGUACGUACAAGCAGUGGGAGCACCUUUAGGGGUGUGACUGCGUACCUUUUGUAUAAUGGGUCAGCGACUUAUAUUCUGUAGCAAGGUUAACCGUAUAGGGGAGCCGUAGGGAAACCGAGUCUUAACUGGGCGAAUGAGUUGCAGGGUAUAGACCCGAAACCCGGUGAUCUAGCCAUGGGCAGGUUGAAGGUUGGGUAACACUAACUGGAGGACCGAACCGACUAAUGUUGAAAAAUUAGCGGAUGACUUGUGGCUGGGGGUGAAAGGCCAAUCAAACCGGGAGAUAGCUGGUUCUCCCCGAAAGCUAUUUAGGUAGCGCCUCGUGAACUCAUCUUCGGGGGUAGAGCACUGUUUCGACUAGGGGGUCAUCCCGACUUACCAACUCGAUGCAAACUACGAAUACCGAAGAAUGUUAUCACGGGAGACACACGGCGGGUGCUAACGUUCGUCGUGAAGAGGGAAACAACCCAGACCGCCAGCUAAGGUCCCAAAGUCAUAGUUAAGUGGGAAACGAAGUGGGAAGGCUCAGACAGCCAGGAUGUUGGCUUAGAAGCAGCCAUCAUUUAAAGAAAGCGUAAUAGCUCACUGGUCGAGUCGGCCUGCGCGGAAGAUGUAACGGGGCUAAACUAUGCACCGAAGCUGCGGCAGCGAUAUGUAAAUAUUGUUGGGUAGGGGAGCGUUCUGUAAGCCUGUGAAGGUGURCUGUGAGGYAUGCUGGAGGUAUCAGAAGUGCGAAUGCUGACAUAAGUAACGAUAAUGCGGGUGAAAAACCCGCACGCCGGAAGACCAAGGGUUCCUGUCCAACGUUAAUCGGGGCAGGGUGAGUCGACCCCUAAGGCGAGGCAGAAAUGCGUAGUCGAUGGGAAACGGGUUAAUAUUCCCGUACUGGUGAUAAUUGCGAUGGGGGGACGGAGAAGGCUAGGCUAUCCGGGCGACGGUUGUCCCGGUUUAAGGAUGUAGGCAGGUGAAUUAGGCAAAUCCGGUUCACUAUAUGCUGAGGUCCGACGACGAGUCACUACGGUGAUGAAGUAGCUCAUGCCCCGCUUCCAGGAAAAGCCUCUAAGCUCUAGAUUAUCAUUAAUCGUACCCCAAACCGACACAGGUGGUCAGGUAGAGAAUACUCAGGCGCUUGAGAGAACUCGGGUGAAGGAACUAGGCAAAAUGGUGCCGUAACUUCGGGAGAAGGCACGCUGGCGCUAGGUGAAGUCCCUCGCGGAUGGAGCUGAAGCCAGUCGCAGAUACCAGCUGGCUGCAACUGUUUAUUAAAAACACAGCACUGUGCAAACACGAAAGUGGACGUAUACGGUGUGACGCCUGCCCGGUGCUGGAAGGUUAAUUGAUGGGGUUAUCCGUAAGGAGAAGCUCUUGAUCGAAGCCCCAGUAAACGGCGGCCGUAACUAUAACGGUCCUAAGGUAGCGAAAUUCCUUGUCGGGUAAGUUCCGACCUGCACGAAUGGCGUAAUGAUGGCCAGGCUGUCUCCACCCGAGACUCAGUGAAAUUGAACUCGCUGUGAAGAUGCAGUGUACCCGCGGCAAGACGGAAAGACCCCGUGAACCUUUACUAUAGCUUGACACUGAACAUUGAGCCUUGAUGUGUAGGAUAGGUGGGAGGCUUUGAAGUGUGGACGCCAGUCUGCAUGGAGCCAACCUUGAAAUACCACCCUUUAAUGUUUGAUGUUCUAACGUAGCCCCGUUAUCCGGGGUGCGGACAGUGUCUGGUGGGUAGUUUGACUGGGGCGGUCUCCUCCCAAAGAGUAACGGAGGAGCACGAAGGUUGGCUAAGCAUGGUCGGACAUCAUGCGGUUAGUGCAAAGGCAUAAGCCAGCUUGACUGCGAGAGUGACGGCUCGAGCAGGUACGAAAGUAGGUCUUAGUGAUCCGGUGGUUCUGAAUGGAAGGGCCAUCGCUCAACGGAUAAAAGGUACUCCGGGGAUAACAGGCUGAUACCGCCCAAGAGUUCAUAUCGACGGCGGUGUUUGGCACCUCGAUGUCGGCUCAUCACAUCCUGGGGCUGAAGUAGGUCCCAAGGGUACGGCUGUUCGCCGUUUAAAGUGGUACGCGAGCUGGGUUUAGAACGUCGUGAGACAGUUCGGUCCCUAUCUGCCGUGGGCGUUGGAAGAUUGAAAGGGGCUGCUCCUAGUACGAGAGGACCGGAGUGGACGCACCACUGGUGUUCGGGUUGUCAUGCCAAUGGCAUUGCCCGGUAGCUAAGUGCGGAAGAGAUAACCGCUGAAAGCAUCUAAGCGGGAAACUUGCCUUGAGAUGAGUCUUCCCUGACCCUUUAAGGGUCCUAAAGGAACGUUUAAGACUAAGACGUUGAUAGGUUGGGUGUGUAAGCGUAGCGAUACGUUGAGCUAACCAAUACUAAUGAACCGUGAGGCUUAACCU
rnacentral:rRNA from 1 species